GACGAACGCUGGCGGCGUGCUUAACACAUGCAAGUCGAACGGACAGGCCCUGCUCUUGUGGGGUGCUCGAGUGGCGCACGGGUGAGUAACACGUGUGUAACCUGCCCUUGACUUUGGGAUAACUUCAGGAAACUGGGGCUAAUACAGGAUAGGAGCUCCUGCUGCAUGGUGGGGGAUGGAAAGUUUCGGCGGUUGGGGAUGGACUCGCGGCUUAUCAGCUUGUUGGUGGGGUAGUGGAUUACCAAGGCUUUGACGGGUAGCCCGCCUGAGAGGGUGACCGGCCACAAGGGGACUGAGGGACGGCCCAGACUCCUACGGGAGGCAGCAGUGGAGAAUAUGGCACAAUGGGCGGAAGCCUGAUGCAGCAACGCCGCGUGCGGGAUAACGGCCUUCGGGUUGUAAACCGAUUUCGCCUUUGACGAAGCGGGAGUGACGGUAAUGGGUAAAGAAGCACCGGCUAACUACGUG
rnacentral:rRNA from 1 species